rnacentral:rRNA from 1 species
GACGAACGCUGGCGGCGUGCCUAAUACAUGCAAGUAGGACGCUGAAGGAGGAGCUUGCUUCUCUGGAUGAGUUGCGAACGGGUGAGUAACGCGUAGGUAACCUGCCUGGUAGCGGGGGAUAACUAUUGGAAACGAUAGCUAAUACCGCAUAAUAGUAGAUGUUGCAUGACAUUUGCUUAAAAGGUGCAAUUGCAUCACUACCAGAUGGACCUGCGUUGUAUUAGCUAGUUGGUGGGGUAACGGCUCACCAAGGCGACGAUACAUAGCCGACCUGAGAGGGUGAUCGGCCACACUGGGACUGAGACACGGCCCAGACUCCUACGGGAGGCAGCAGUAGGGAAUCUUCGGCAAUGGACGGAAGUCUGACCGAGCAACGCCGCGUGAGUGAAGAAGGGUGUCGGAUCGUAAAGCUCUGUUGUAAGAGAAGAACGAGUGUGAGAGUGGAAAGUUCACACUGUGACGGUAUCUUACCAGAAAGGGACGGCUAACUACGUG